rnacentral:tRNA from 1 species
GGUGGCUCAGUGGCAGAGUGCUUGCCUUGCAUGCAUAAGGCCCUGGGUUCGAUUCCUCAGCACCA